UGGGGGAAUUUUGGACAAUGGGCGCAAGCCUGAUCCAGCCAUGCCGCGUGCGGGAAGAAGGCCUUCGGGUUGUAAACCGCUUUUGUCAGGGAAGAAAUCUUCUGAGUUAAUACCUCGGGAGGAUGACGGUACCUGAAGAAUAAGCACCGGCUAACUACGCGCCAGCAGCCGCGGUAAUACGUAGGGUGCAAGCGUUAUCGGAAUUACUGGGCGUAAAGCGUGCGCAGGCGGUUUUGUAAGACAGAGGUGAAAUCCCCGGGCUCAACCUGGGAACUGCCUUUGUGACUGCAAGGCUUGAGUGCGGCAGAGGGGGGAUGGAAUUCCGCGUGUAGCAGUGAAAUGCGUAGAUAUGCGGAGGAACACCGAUGGCGAAGGCAAU
rnacentral:rRNA from 1 species